rnacentral:lncRNA from 13 species
CAUGGUGGUUGCCAGGGACUGGUGGGGAAACAGGGAGGGGUUGGUCAAAGGGCACCAAGUUUCUGUUACCCGUGGUGGGUAGGACGUAGAUGUCUACUGGACAGCCUAGUGCCUGAUUGUCAGUAUCGUUCAGUAUUGCAUAUUGUUCAGUAUUGCAUUGUCAGUAUCGUUCGGUAUUGCAUAUUGUUCAGUAUUGCAUUGUCAAUAUCGUUCAGUAUUGCAUACUGUUCAGUAUUGCAUUGUCAGUAUCGUUCAGUAUUGCAUAUUGUUCAGUACUGCAUUGUCAGUAUCGUUCGGUAUUGCAUAUUGUUCAGUAUCGCACUGUCAAUAUCGUUCAGUAUUGCAUUGUCAGUAUCGUUCAGUAUUGCAUAUUGUUCAGUAUUGCAUUGUCAGUAUCGUUCGGUAUUGCGUAUUGUUCAGUAUUGCAUUGUCAGUAUCGUUUGGUAUUGCAUAUUGUUCAGUAUUGCACUGUCAGUAUCAUUCAGUAUUGCAUAUUGUUCAGUAUUGCAUUGUCAGUAUCGUUCAGUAUUGCAUUGUCAAUAUCGUUCGGUAUUGCAUAUUGUUCUGUAUUGCAUUGUCAAUACCGUUCGGUAUUGCAUAUUGUUCAGUAUUGCACUGUCAGUAUCAUUCAGUAUUGCAUAUUGUUCAGUAUUGCAUUGUCAGUAUCGUUCAGUAUUGCAUUGUCAAUAUCGUUCGGUAUUGCAUAUUGUUCUGUAUUGCAUUGUCAAUAUUGUUCGGUAUUGCAUAUUGUUCAGUAUUGCACUGUCAGUAUCAUUCAGUAUUGCAUAUUGUUCAGUAUUGCAUUGUCAGUAUCGUUCAGUAUUGCAUUGUCAAUAUCGUUCGGUAUUGCAUAUUUUUCUGUAUUGCAUUGUCAAUAUUGUUCGGUAUUGCGUAUUGUUCAGUAUUGCAUUGUCAGUAUCGUUCGGUAUUGCAUAUUGUUCAGUAUCGCAUUGUCAGUAUCGUUCAGUAUUGCAUACUGUUCAGUAUCGCACUGUCAGUAUCGUUCAGUAUUGCAUAUUGUUCAGUAUUGCAUUGUCAGUAUCGUUCGGUAUUGCAUAUUGUUCAGUAUCGCAUUGUCAGUAUCGUUCAGUAUUGCAUACUGUUCAGUAUCGCACUGUCAGUAUCGUUCAGUAUUGCAUAUUGUUCAGUAUUGCACUGUCAGUAUCGUUCGGUAUUGCAUAUUGUUCAGUAUUGCAUUGUCAGUAUCGUUCGGUAUUGCAUACUGUUCAGUAUCGCACUGUCAAUAUCGUUUGGUAUUGCGUAUUGUUCAGUAUUGCAUUGUCAGUAUCGUUCAGUAUUGCAUUGUCAGUAUUGUUCGGUAUUGCGUAUUGUUCAGUAUUGCAUUGUCAGUAUAGUUCAGUAUUGCAUAUUGUUCAGUAUUGCAUUGUCAGUAUCGUUCAGUAUUGCAUAUUGUUCAGUAUCGCAUUGUCAAUAUCGUUCGGUAUUGCAUACUGUUCAGUAUCGCACUGUCAAUAUCGUUCGGUAUUGCGUAUUGUUCAGUAUUGCAUUGUCAGUAUCGUUAGGUAUUGCGUAUUGUUCAGUAUUGCAUUGUCAGUAUCGUUCGGUAUUGCAUAUUGUUCAGUAUUGCAUUGUCAGUAUCGAUAUCGUUCGGUAUUGCAUACUGUUCAGUAUCGCACUGUCAAUAUCGUUCGGUAUUGCAUAUUGUUCAGUAUUGCAUUGUCAGUAUCAUUUGGUAUUGCAUAUUGUUCAGUAUUGCAUUGUCAAUAUCGUUAG